UCAUAUUCCAUUUCCCAGAAUCAGGUAUGGGAUCCUAUUUUCAACUUUCUUCAUUUGUAUGUAAAUUUUGUGAGACUAUAACCCAAACCCAGGAAUUUUGUGAGGCAAAUUGAAAAAAAGAAGAAGUCGUAUUAAGGAACAAAUGUAUUGGAUUAUGUGUUGUGUGCAUGGAGUUCAAUGAUCUGCAUGCAAUACAUGACCGGAUUCAUUGAAAUUUCUGAAGUGAUUGGAAAGGAACUUUAAGAGGUUUUUUUCAAUUACAAAGAAAUUGAGCUGACCAACCCAUCUUCUAACCUAGUUCAGACUGCAGAAUCUCACAUGUAUUAUAUGUGCUAUUUGUUGAGUUCUAGGCUCACUUUUUGACUAUUUAAACUUGGGAUUUCAAAUUGGAAGUCCUAAAGAAGUCUAGAUCUCAUUAGAAUGGGAGUUGGAGUUUUUAUGUGAUGGGAAAGGGUUAUGUGUAGUUCAAACCAUGAUAUGCCUUCUAAUAACAAACAUAAAAAGAACUUCUUUCCUCUAUUAAACAUUUGUUAUGCUGAUGGAAGCGAUACAUUGUGGGAUGCUUCCAACAAAUUGACUGUAUUUCAGUCGGUUACAUGUAUGAUCAGAAAUUCAGAAUAUAUCUCAAGUGUUUUAGCUUGCAAGUUACUUUUUUCCCUUAGCAUUUGUAGGGUAACUAGACAAAAAAAACUUAAAAACCACAUUGUUUCAAGAAAUAUUAAUUAUCUGGACUUCUAUGGCGCAGAAAUUCACCAUGUUCUGUCUAGCUCUUCAUCCAACAGAUCUCAAUUAUGGUAUUAUUGGACGUGAGUGGUCCUCUGCCUUAGAGCUUUGCAUACAUUUUGUUUUCACACUUUCUAUUCUGACACUGAUAAGCAAGUAAAUUGCAGAAAACUUCAUGACGGGUAAUCGUGUAGUUUUUGAUAUGGAGAACUUGAAAUUGGGUUGGUCUAAUUCAAAUUGUCAAGAUAUAAGUGAUAAUACAGAAGUAAAUCUUGCACCGCCUCCAAAUGCUAAAUCACCAAAUCCAUUGCCAACUAAUGAGCAACAUAGCAUCCCUAAUAAGCAUGCAGUUGCACCUGCUGUUGCUAGAAGGGCUUCCUCAAAAGCAUCCCAGCAUAUUCCCUCCCUGCUCCAUUUAUUGAGUUCAUUGGCAUUGCAACCGCAUAUUGGUCUCUGUGUUUUAUGGAUCUAAUAUUCUCUCUGGCUGGCCUACUCAAUUCUGCUUGUAAAUCCUGUCUGUCCCUGUCAAGCUCUUCCAACUUCCAGAGAUUUUCAGCUUUUUGAAGAUCAUUCUAUUGAUUGGGGCUGGUAGAGAAGUUUAUCUUCUUCAUGUAGCUGGCUCAUUUUGCUGCUAACUUUUGGUUUGCAUGGUAUUUAUAGUACAAUAGUUGUUGGUAGGUUUCUAAGAUUUUAUAUACUUUUGCACUCGGCAGAUUACCCGUUUUAUAUAAGAGGACAAAGUUUGGGAGGAAAAAUUUGAAUCAUCGAAUAUAAUCAAAUCAGAUCCAAUCAGAUGAAUUAAAAGUACAGGGUGCUUGCCAAACAACUCUGGAAAAGCAUCCUUUUCAAGGGGGCAAAUUAAGCUUAAUGAUAUCA
rnacentral:misc_RNA from 1 species